GGAGGUGUGGCUCAGUGGUAGAGCGCUUGCCUGGCACAUGUGAGGCACUGGGUUCGAUUCUUAGCACCACCU
rnacentral:tRNA from 1 species